rnacentral:RNase_P_RNA from 1 species
UCAGACGGUCGGAUGGCCGCUCUUUGUCGGGUUCGCUCGGCGGAGGGAGGAAAGUCCGGGCUCCACGGAAGCACGGUGCCGGGUAACGCCCGGCGGGGGCGACCCCAGGGAAAGUGCCACAGAAACACACCGCCGAGCUCGCCGCCUUCCGGGGCGGCGGGCGGUAAGGGUGAAAUGGUGCGGUAAGAGCGCACCGCGCCGCCGGCAACGGCGGCGGCAGGGUAAACCCCACCGGGAGC